AUCCAACAGAAGAGUUCCAAAUAGGACGAAACGCGCGUCCUGGAU
rnacentral:hammerhead_ribozyme from 1 species